rnacentral:rRNA from 1 species
UAAUUGACAGCACCAGGACGGUUGANUAACUGCCUACAGAAUCNGCCUAGNGGNGGGCCGGNAACGUUCGGAAACGGACGCUAAUACCGCAUACGUCCUACGGGAGAAAGCGGGGGAUCUUCGGGCCUCGCGCCAUUAGAUGAGCCUAGGUCGGAUUAGCUAGUUGGUGAGGUAAUGGCUCACCAAGGCUACGAUCCGUAACUGGUCUGAGAGGAUGAUCAGUCACACUGGAACUGAGACACGGUCCAGACUCCUACGGGAGGCAGCAGUGGGGAAUAUUGGACAAUGGGCGAAAAGCCUGAUCCAGCCAUGCCGCGUGUGUGAAGAAGGUCUUCGGAUUGUAAAGCACUUUAAGUNUGGGGAGGAACGGAAGUAACCCUAAUCGUACUUGNUUUGACGUU